rnacentral:rRNA from 16 species
NNCCUAGUGACAAUAGCGGAGAGGAAACACCCGUUCCCAUCCCGAACACGGAAGUUAAGCUCUCCAGCGCCGAUGGUAGUUGGGGCCAGCGCCCCUGCAAGAGUAGGUCGUUGCUAGGC